AUGAACGUAUUCCUAGUCGCCAAUAAGCUCCAUCUCCAUCACAGAUAUGCUAGAAGGGAUAAUUGUCGUUCUUCUCUUCCUCGUCUUUCCCUACACCUUCUACUCCUCGCGUUUUUGCUAACCCGUUUCAUUGGCGCCAACCAACACCACGUCAACAUUAGUGUGUUCGUCAUCGACGCCUCAGCUUCUUAUUUCUCAUUUCUCGUCAGCUUUAGUUCUCGUUCCUACUUAUUUUCAAGAAUACUCUUUCUUUUUUUCUCUCCCUCUUAUUAUUUGGAACACUUUUCUUUCUCCAACACCAUGGACCGUUUGGUGGCUUUAAUUCUCUUUUUCCUUUUUAUUCUCGGAACACUCUUUCUUCUUAUUAUCUCAUGA
rnacentral:rRNA from 1 species